rnacentral:rRNA from 1 species
GACGAACGCUGGCGGCGUGCUUAACACAUGCAAGUCGAACGGAAAGGCCCUGCUUUUGUGGGGUGCUCGAGUGGCGAACGGGUGAGUGAAACGUGAGUAACCUGCCCUUGACUUUGGGAUAACUUCAGUAAACUGGGGCGAAUACCGGACAUGAGCUCCUGCUGCAUAGUGGGGGUUGGAAAGUUGCGGAGUUUGGGGAUGGACGCGCGGCUUAUCAGCUUGUUGGUGGGGUAGUGGCUUACCAAGGCUUUGACGGGUUGCCGGCCUGAGAGGGUGACCGGCCCCAUUGGGACUGAGAUACGGCCCAGACUGCUACGGGAGGCAGAAGUGGGGAUUAGUGCACAAUGGGCGGAAGCCUGAUGCAGCAACUCCGCGUGCGGGAUGACGGCCUUCGGGUUGUAACCCGCUUGCGCCUGUGACGAAGCGUGAGUGACGGUAAUGGGUAAAGAAGCACCGGCUAACUACGUG